rnacentral:lncRNA from 1 species
AAUACAAAAAUACAUACAAUUUAAAGUAGUUCAGAUUGUUUACACAGAUUGGCUCUUGAAAUGUUAUUUUUAAAUAAGAUACAUGAGACUUAAUGCAUAUACAAACUUAGUUACUGAAAUGCCUUAUACUAAGCAAUUAAUCAUUUUGAUUUAGGCACCAUUUUUUAAGAGAGGUUGUGUGAUUCUGUUUUAAAUGUUCCUUCAAUGAAGGAUUUCUUGAAAUGUACUCUUUUUCGUUCGUGGGUUUUUCCUUCCAUAUAAUUCUGUAUACAUAUAUGUUCAUAGAAUGAGAAAAUCAAUUACAUAACCAAGGUAAAUCCCCUUUUAAGCAGUACAUACUUAGUUUUAUUUACUAUAAUGUUUAGCCCUAUCAAUUGGUUUCAACAUAUAUAGGAGUAAAAAACAUGAUUAAGAAUUUUCAUUUAAUAACGCUCUUUUGAGCGUCUACAAUGUGUUUUUAUAGACAAAGUAUGCUUUGUGAAAUGUAUAACACUUGUUAUAAGUCGGAACGCGUACUUUUUUUGCGUAGUUAGAGCUCAGUAGUGUCCUUGAACGUACUUGUUACAAUAUAAAUGUAUCAUAUCUUGAAUACAUGCAUAAAGGAGCAGCCCCCUAGAUCCUAUCCCGCCCUCACUUAGGAUUUAAGAGGUUUAAUUUUGUCAAUGUUGGACCUUUGUUCAUUUGACAUUUCUGUAUUCUUUAUUUUCCUUAGCUAUAAUUAAUGUUUAAAAGGGAUUAUAUAUAGAGUUGUAAAAAAUAUGAUGUAAAGAAAUGUGGUAACUGAGGAUUUGACGAGUUUUUGAGGGGAAGACUGGUUAACUAUGAGAAAAAGAAGAAAUCUCACUCAAAAUGUAGACAGUUUUUUUUUCUGGUGUAAAAAAAAGGUCAUUUGCAGGACGUCCGCAGGGGGAGAGUCGGAGGGGCUUUAGCCCGCCUCCUCCAAUGAAGGAUUUUUUAAAACUUACUAGAAAAUACGCCCCUGAUUUGUCAUUCAAAAAACAUCACGUCAAAGUUUUGUCAACUCUAAAGAAAAAUCCUAUUAACGACCCUUUGCAUAAGCAUGAAUGACAUCGACAUCAAUCCUACCAACUACUCGGAGUCCAAUAACAACUUACUCUUUAACGAAUCCUGGCUCUCAUGAGCACACAACCUUCAUACUUAGAAUUGCAAAUAAAAAGAGUCUCGCUCUCGUCUAAGGUCAUAUUUUUACAAAUCCAAUAAUUAUGAGAGAGAACAUUCAUAUUACAAGUGAUUUUCCCACUCUUUUUGUCAAUAGCAAUGUGUUUUUGGGUGAGGCUUUGUCCUAGAUUUGAGGGGGGGAAGUCCAUAAAAGGAAUGAUCUGAGUAAAUUUAACCAUAUUUAGUAAUAUACUGUAUUUAGAUAUUUGAUAUCAA